GGCUGGCCCAAAGGCAGUGAGUUACCUCAGUUGAUUACCCACAGUCAGCGACAGAUUGAAGCCCUUGUUCUACUCUUUCCCCAUGGCUCACUGCUGCACGUGACUAAUCUUUA
ensembl:misc_RNA Y_RNA Y RNA